CCCUGAGCCUCUGCCUGGAGCAGGGUGGGGUGGGGGACGCCCCCGUCUGCCUGGUGUCCAUCAUCGGGGAGCAGCGCCGGGGAAAAUCCUUCCUGAUGAAUUGCCUGCUGCGCCGGCUCCAGAGCCCGGAGGCUGUGGAUGCGUCAUGGAUGGGCUGAGAGGACGACGCCCUGGGGGGGUUUGAGUGUCGCAAUGGGACAGCGACCGUGACCAGGGGCGUGUGGAUGUGGGACCAGCCCCUCUGGGUCCAGGCCCAGGGGAGGAGGGUGGCCGUGUUCCUGGUGGACACCGAGGGCUCCCUGGACCUGCAGCGCCAUAUGGAGACCAGCAUCAAGCUCUCCGUGUUGGGCAUAUUGCUCAGCUCCUACUGGGUGGGGGAG